UACGUAGGGUGCAAGCGUUAUCCGGAAUUAUUGGGCGUAAAGAGCUCGUAGGCAGUUUGUCGCGUCUGCCGUGAAAGUCCGGGGCUCAACUCCGGAUCUGCGGUGGGUACGGGCAGACUAGAGUGAUGUAGGGGAGACUGGAAUUCCUGGUGUAGCGGUGAAAUGCGCAGAUAUCAGGAGGAACACCGAUGGCGAAGGCAGGUCUCUGGGCAUUAACUGACGCUGAGGAGCGAAAGCAUGGGGAGCGAACAGG
rnacentral:rRNA from 1 species